rnacentral:siRNA from 1 species
AUCUGAUGGGAAUUACAAUGAG